rnacentral:rRNA from 1 species
GAUAAACGCUGGCGGCGCACAUAAGACAUGCAAGUCGAACGGACUUAACCGUUAGUUUACUAAUGGAGCGGUUAGUGGCGGACUGGUGAGUAACACGUAAGCAACCUGCCUAUCAGAGGGGAACAACAGUUAGAAAUGACUGCUAAUACCGCAUAUGCCUUAGCAACACAUGUUGCAAAAGGGAAAGGAGCAAUCCACUGAUAGAUGGGCUUGCGUCUGAUUAGAUAGUUGGUGGGGUAACGGCCUACCAAGUCGACGAUCAGUAGCCGGACUGGGAGGUUGAACGGCCACAUUGGGACUGAGAUACGGCCCAGACUCCUACGGGAGGCAGCAGUCGGGAAUAUUGCGCAAUGGAGGAAACUCUGACGCAGUGACGCCGCGUGCAGGAAGAAGGUUUUCGGAUUGUAAACUGCUUUAGACAGGGAAGAAUAAAGACAGUACCUGUAGAAUAAGCUCCGGCUAACUACGUGCCAGCCGCCGCCGUAAAAC